GACGUAGGAUGCAAGCGUUGUCCGGAUUUAUUGGGCGUAAAGAGUUCGUAGGUGGUUUGCUAAGUCUGAUGUUAAAUACUGGAGCUCAACUUCGGGACUGCAUUGGAUACUGGCAGACUUGAGUGUGGUAGAGGCAAUCGGAAUUCCAGGUGUAGCGGUGAAAUGCGCAGAUAUCAGGAGGAACACCGGUGGCGAAGGCGGAUCUCUGGGCCAUUACUGACGCUGAGGAGCGAAAGCGUGGGGAGCGAACAGG
rnacentral:rRNA from 1 species